UGUCUUUAUGGCAAAUGUGAGAUGCAGUGUAUGGAAUGUCAAAUUUCUAGUAUGAGAAAUUAAUGAUUUAAGUCCUUCUUAAAUGAGGCCAUUUACCCAAAGAGGGUGCCAGGCCCGUAUAACGUUAAUGAUUACUAGAUGACAUUUCCAAAGAGUCGUGUUGCUUGAUAGUGCAGCACUAAGUGGGUGGUAAACUCCAUCUAAAACUAAAUAUAACCAUGAGACCGAUAGUAAACAAGUACCGUGAGGGAAAGUUGAAAAGAACUCUGAAUAGAGAGUUAAAUAGUACGUGAAACUGCUUAGAGGUUAAGCCCGAUGAACCUGAAUAUCCCAUAUGGAAAAUUCAUCAUUAUGAUUUUAAUAUUGAUAAUAUUAUAAUAAUGGUGUGCAUUUUUUCCAUAUAAGGACAUUGUAAUCUAUUAAUAUACACAUAUAUUUAUCAAAAGAUCAUUAUGCGUAAGUAUAUUCAAAUUAUUUUGCUUGCAAUUUAACAUAGAAUAUAUGCUCUUGAUUUGAUAAAGUGUUGAUAGAUUUAUUAUAUAUAGUGCUUGAAUAUUUUCAAAUAUUCUAUAAUGGCAUAUUGAUCAAUGAUCUUUGUGUUACGAUUAUAUGCACGAAUAUGAUUUACAAUGCGAAAGAUUCAGGAUACCUUCGGGACCCGUCUUGAAACACGGACCAAGGAGUCUAACAUAUUUGCAAGUUAUUGGGAAUUAAAAACCUAAUAGCGAAAUUAACAUAACUUAUAUAAUGGGAUUAGUUUUUAGUACUAUUUAUAGUCUAUUAAUUCAAUCCCGGGGCGUUCUAUACAGUUAUGCAUAAUGGUAUUUAUAUUAUUUAUGCCUCUAACUAGAGCGUACCUUGAGCAUAUAUGCUGUGACCCGAAAGAUGGUGAACUAUACUUGAUCAGGUUGAAGUCAGGGGAAACCCUG
rnacentral:rRNA from 1 species